rnacentral:rRNA from 1 species
CGAGUUUGAUCCUGGCUCAGAGUGAACGCUGGCGGCAGGCCUAACACAUGCAAGUCGAGCGGCAGCGCGUCCGACCACCUCGGGUGGUCGGAUGGCGGCGAGCGGCGGACGGGUGAGGAAUGCAUCGGAAUCUGCCUCGUUGUGGGGGAUAACGUAGGGAAACUUACGCUAAUACCGCAUACGACCUACGGGUGAAAGUGGGGGACCUUCGGGCCUCACGCGAUGAGAUGAGCCGAUGCCGGAUUAGCUAGUUGGCGGGGUAAAGGCCCACCAAGGCGACGAUCCGUAGCUGGUCUGAGAGGAUGAUCAGCCACACUGGAACUGAGACACGGUCCAGACUCCUACGGGAGGCAGCAGUGGGGAAUAUUGGACAAUGGGGGCAACCCUGAUCCAGCCAUGCCGCGUGUGUGAAGAAGGCCUUCGGGUUGUAAAGCACUUUUGUUGGGGAAGAAACCGGCCGGGUUAAUACCCUGGUUGAAUGACGGUACCCAAAGAAUAAGCACCGGCUAACUUCGUG